GGGGAAAGCGGGAAAAUGCAAAGGCCUCGCAUGUCCGAGGAAGGACCUAUAGGAGUGCGGCGGAGGCGCGGCGCGGCCGCUGAGUGGUCGAGGAGGCGCGGGGGCGGGGCUAGGCUGCCGCAGGGCAGUACGGCCCUCGGUGCCUGUGCCCGGGCUGAGGAGACCUUCCUCGACACCCCACGUUAUGUGGGUUUCCGCAAGACCUUCCGCCAUUGCCUGGGCUUUGAAAGCGCUUUAGGAACGGUAAAGCAUUGCUGUAACUUAAAGUAGUGUUACUCUGGCUUGACUGAAAUGUUCUGUGGAAACAAGUCACUGUGUUUGCAGUAGGGAAAAAAAGACUUACGGAUCAAAUCCAAAAUUUAAUGUGCAUAGGAUUUACAGAAGCUAAGGACUUCACAUCCAUUGUCAUAUCCAUAAUAAUAACAUAGCUUUGCCACACGAAAUACAGGAGAGCUCAUUUAAACCUGAAUUUCAGAAAAAUGGAGAUUUUUUUUAAAAAUAUAAGAAUAUCCCGUUUGGGUUAUACUUCCUGUUUGUUUUGGUUCGUUUUACUAAAUCUGAGAACCCUAUCUAACUCAUGGAAACUUUACAGAUACGGAAACGGAGGCUUAGAAGUGGAAACUUUACAGAUAUGGAAACUGAGACUUAGAAAAAUGACCCGUCAAAGGCCUUUUCUACAAUGAUCUUUUCAACCAGAAAAUGAAGAGAUGGAUUUUACAGUGUGUGCUUACUGCCUAUG
rnacentral:lncRNA from 10 species